rnacentral:lncRNA from 1 species
UGCUCCUUCAAGUUUUCCUUAUUCUGGAGUUCCUGAUUUAUUAAGGAAGCUGUACCAAUCAGAGCACUCCUCUAACACUAGACUGUGAAAAAGAAAGAAAGAGGAAUGCAUCAAUCAGUUUGGGACUGAGGAUUCUAGGGAAGAAGUAUUAACUUCAUUUAACCAGUCUCCUUCUAUUACAGCAUUGACUUUGUCUCUUUGAUUUUGGUAUAUUUGCUAUACUUCAAGGAGAGAAACCUGUGUGACAGAACUUAAGAAAACAGUAGAAUAAUGGAUAAACAGUCUAAAACUUUUGGCUUUAGAACAUCAUUGCUUAUUUAACCUCACCUCUAACUAUCUGUUCCCUCUCUCUCCUCACAUGUCAGAUAAACUCCUAGGGGUCACAUCUGUUAUCUGGUUCUGGGGUGUUAAUCUCCUAGGACAAGGAAGUUAAAUAUAUAAACUAUAAUACAUUGAUCAAUAUAAUGGUUGGCUGGAGAAGUUCAAUUAAUUAAUAAAAAUUAUUAAAACUAGAAUCACUCUCCUUGUUUUAAGAAUGACACUUCCAUGGAACAUAGAUGUCUCCUUAUAUGAAGGUGGGGCUGCCUCUUGACUUGUUUCCUACUUCCAGAUUUCCUUUUUAACCAUGGCAGGAAGACUGGGAUUGUGACAAGAGGAAGUGGAAACACAGAAGAACAUUUAAUAGCAAAGAAUGGUUCUGCUCUGCACAGUACUGUCCUGCAUGAGGAACUGUCAGUGAUUAUGUUGUGGAUAUUACAUAUGAAAAUGGAAGAAAACAACAAUUUCUUUCACACUCAAAUGCAGAGAUGAAAGGAAAGGUCUAGUUGCAGUAACCUUUGC